UCUCCGUAGGUGAACCUGCGGAAGGAUCAUUACUGAGUGAGGGCCCCUCGGGGUCCAACCUCCCACCCGUGUUUAACGAACCUUGUUGCUUCGGCGGGCCCGCCUCACGGCCGCCGGGGGGCAUUUGCCCCCGGGCCCGCGCCCGCCGAAGCCACCUGUGAACGCUGUCUGAAGUAUGCAGUCUGAGACAAUUAUUAAAUUAAUUAAAACUUUCAACAACGGAUCUCUUGGUUCUG
rnacentral:misc_RNA from 1 species